rnacentral:misc_RNA from 1 species
GCUUCAUUAGGAAAUUUAGGCAAGUACAGUUGAGCAAUUACAGUACAGGACAAAGUUCCAUAUUUCAUCAUUUGUUACAUAGCAUGGAAAAGCAAUUCAAUCUUACACUAGAUUGAGAAAUAUGAAAGCAAAUUCAAGAUGACACACACCCACUGCACUGUCUAAAUCUUGUGAAUUCUAGUCACUAACCAGAACCACACAUACCAUAAGACAAUAACAAGGAUCAGAAUUCACCAUUAGUUUUAGAUCAAUAACAUCCGACCAACACACCAUAAAGUAUCAUAUAUCUAAUCAACUGAUGCCAAUGACAACAAGACAUCAAGGUCAGGGUUAACAAAGGAAGAAACAAGAGCCCAAAGUGAAAUUCUCCUAAGGAGAGAAUUACAACAUGACACUAGAAAAACUCCAAAUUACCCAUAUAUCAUAGCUUUUAUGCAGAGCAUAAACCAAAGUAUUUUGUAUUUGACAUUUUCCACAUAUAAGAGUUAAAGCCGAUCACUUAGCAAGUAUAUUUUGCUGAGCUUGAUUCUCCUGCUGCUGUUGAUAGUUCAAGGGCCUCCUGAAGAGCAU